rnacentral:misc_RNA from 1 species
UUUCCGUAGGUGAACCUGCGGAAGGAUCAUUACUGAGUGAGGGUUUAACGGGCCCGACCUCCUACACUGUGUUUUUGUGACCUUGUUGCGUUGGCGGGUUCGUACCGAUGAGAGGUCGCCGGAAGCGCAGCGGUAUGGGCGCGUGACCGUCAGCAGGCACCCUCAAUACUUAAGAAACCUGACGUCUUAGUUAAUGGUACUAAUGAAAAAAAACUAUCAACAAGGGAUUUCUUUGUUCUGGCAUAGAUGCAGGACGCAGCUGAUCGGUAGAGCUCACGG